rnacentral:rRNA from 1 species
UGGAGCUGAAAUCAGUCGAAGAUACCAGCUGGCUGCAACUGUUUAUUAAAAACACAGCACUGUGCAAACACGAAAGUGGACGUAUACGGUGUGACGCCUGCCCGGUGCCGGAAGGUUAAUUGAUGGGGUUAGCGCAAGCGAAGCUCUUGAUCGAAGCCCCGGUAAACGGCGGCCGUAACUAUAACGGUCCUAAGGUAGCGAAAUUCCUUGUCGGGUAAGUUCCGACCUGCACGAAUGGCGUAAUGAUGGCCAGGCUGUCUCCACCCGAGACUCAGUGAAAUUGAACUCGCUGUGAAGAUGCAGUGUACCCGCGGCAAGACGGAAAGACCCCGUGAACCUUUACUAUAGCUUGACACUGAACAUUGAGCCUUGAUGUGUAGGAUAGGUGGGAGGCUUAGAAGUGUGGACGCCAGUCUGCAUGGAGCCGACCUUGAAAUACCACCCUUUAAUGUUUGAUGUUCUAACGUUGACCCGUAAUCCGGGUUGCGGACAGUGUCUGGUGGGUAGUUUGACUGGGGCGGUCUCCUCCUAAAGAGUAACGGAGGAGCACGAAGGUUGGCUAAUCCUGGUCGGACAUCAGGAGGUUAGUGCAAUGGCAUAAGCCAGCUUGACUGCGAGCGUGACGGCGCGAGCAGGUGCGAAAGCAGGUCAUAGUGAUCCGGUGGUUCUGAAUGGAAGGGCCAUCGCUCAACGGAUAAAAGGUACUCCGGGGAUAACAGGCUGAUACCGCCCAAGAGUUCAUAUCGACGGCGGUGUUUGGCACCUCGAUGUCGGCUCAUCACAUCCUGGGGCUGAAGUAGGUCCCAAGGGUAUGGCUGUUCGCCAUUUAAAGUGGUACGCGAGCUGGGUUUAGAACGUCGUGAGACAGUUCGGUCCCUAUCUGCCGUGGGCGCUGGAGAACUGAGGGGGGCUGCUCCUAGUACGAGAGGACCGGAGUGGACGCAUCACUGGUGUUCGGGUUGUCAUGCCAAUGGCACUGCCCGGUAGCUAAAUGCGGAAGAGAUAAGUGCUGAAAGCAUCUAAGCACGAAACUUGCCCCGAGAUGAGUUCUCCCUGACUCCUUGAGAGUCCUGAAGGAACGUUGAAGACGACGACGUUGAUAGGCCGGGUGUGUAAGCGCAGCGAUGCGUUGAGCUAACCGGUACUAAUGAACCGUGAGGCUUAACCUUACAACGCCGAAG